UUGGCUUUCAGGAGAGCUCUACAGUGGGUGUGAGGGCAGCAGGGUGACCCGUGGCUCCAGCCACGGCAGCUCAGUGCUGGUGAGUGCCAGCUCCUGACCACCAUUUGGACAUUUUCUCCUUAAAUAAGCACCGUUGCUGGCUCUGAAGGUUUUUCAUUGCCAUUAUUUUUACUGGCAAUCACUCUCACAGCUUUUUCCCCUAAAUGCAGCAAUCUGAACACACGCUCUAACGUUUUAAGUGCUGGUUUCUUUUAUUUUCUUCUUGUUCCUCUAAUGCAGGAGAAUCAGCUCCUUGUAAGCACUGGCACAGAUAAUGGUUUAUUGUAUUCUGGAUGACAAAUUGGUUUAAGAUAAUUAUUAGGCUGAUGUUUAAAGCUUUCAAUGCAAAUCAAUGCAAUUAAACAUGAAACAAUACUUCAUAAUUCAUACAGAGAAAGAUAUUUGUCUGCAGCUAAUGUUUCAGAAGAUGUUACAUGAGGAUUGUUCAGUCCCUCUUAUACCAGUGUCCAGCUAAUGGGUGCUGAACUGGGACUGUAACACUGUCGUUUCUCUCUUGAUGUCUCAUAGGUUUUCCUGGUCAUUCUCUUUUGCUCACUGUUUCUGAGGUAAAAUACAGCUACUCCUGCAGGAAUUCCCAGGCCUCUGUCAGGAAUCCCAUCCUCUCUAGAAUGUUUCACAGCAUUGUAUAUGUGCUGAUGCCCCCCCUGUGUAAGGAGGGGUGUUCCCGGCCAGCUGGAGGGGCAAAGCCACCACGUGAGAGGGUCUCCAGCACUGAUCCAAAAUGCUGAGGGGCUGAGACACCCUUCUUCUGUUUCUCCAUGACAGCAGGUGGCUCCAGCAUCUUGUUCCAGACUUGUGUUAUCCUCCUGCUGUAGGUGCCCUGUGCCGCCUUCUCUUCCCACCUUCCUUGAAAGGAGACCACUGCUGAGUUUUGUGCUACAAGUCGCUCUGGGUUUGAGGAAGGCUUUUGGCAGUCCUGGUCUCUUAAGAAAACCACUGCUGCUGUGGAAGGAUGCAAGAGGAGGUGGGAGAGCACCAUGCACUGCAGUGUCUGCCUGGCAGAGGGAAGGAGCUGUGCAGCCGCUGUCAUGCCUGGCUGAGCAGGGCUGGCUGAGAGGCAUGUGUGCUGCUCAGCACAGCUGAUGUCCUGUGCCUCACUCAUGACUUGAUGGCCCCAGUGCCUUCAAAGGUGCUCUGAAGAGAUGUACAGAAACACAGCUCUGGUAAAGGCUGCCAGAAGUAGAAGAUGAUCCCAUUAUGGACAGCUGAAGGUUAGGCCAAUGCAGAGCAAAGAGGUGUUCCCCAGGGAGCAGAUGUGAGAGCACUGGGAGGGUGAUUUGCUGCUUGAGGGCUCAGAGUGAGAAGUUAUCCUGCUGGUGGGUGAUGCAGGAGGUGGUUACAGGGGUCCUUUCUGACAUUAUAAUCUAUGAACUGUGUAGCAUGUUUCAAAUAAUCCCUGCUGGUGGAUUAAGUGUGUGACAGCUAAGCCUAGAUGGGCUUUGUCCCUCUAAAGCAAGUUGCUUGUUCUCACUUCCUCGCUGUGGCUUUGUGUGCUCUGGACACAUCAAGCAGUACACAGGCAGGGGAAAGCAGAGGGAUUGAGAUGAUACAUUUUGCAUUUCCCCUUUGUUGCUGCCUUAUCCUCUUCCAUAGGUGCUUGGUGAGAGCCAGCUGCAGCCUUCAAGCAUUAGAAAUAUUUAAAAAUCAUCCCCCUUGCUCAGGGUAGAGGUGGCAAUAGCAAACAAUGUUCCCUGAGAGAUCAAUAACACCCUGCAGGAAGCUAAAUCGUCCUUUAUUAAUCUGAUGAAUUAGCCUGAUACAGGAGAGAAGAGAUCAACAGCAUGGAAAAUAAAUGCAUGCCCUGAAGCAAAGCUUGUCGGCUAUAGAAAUAGAAGUGUCUUUCCUUUUAUCCAUAAUGAAUAAUCCUGAAAGUUAGGCUAGGAGGCCAAAGUGACUUCUGAGGUUUAUCAGUGCUACGUGGAUAUGGAAACUUGCUUCUUCCUUUGAAAAGCAAUUACACAAUCACGCAGAGACAAGCAGUUUCCCUGCUGUGCUGCUGGAUUACAAAGCUUGAAUGUCUUCCUCCUUAUACUUCAAGAGCGCCUGAUUCAGCAAAGUAGUUAUGUACAUGUUUCAGCAUCAGAGUCAUUCAAGGGAGCUCAGCUUUAGCCUUGCAGAUUCAGGAUCCUAGUAAAAGGCAAAAUGAAAAGGCAUCAGACUUCCAUCUUGUAUUGAAGAAGGCAAAAAUGAGUUUUUUCAUAGUAGGGAAGAAAAAGCAGCUUCUCUGAGCAGCUACACUGAAGAGACAGCCCUGGCUUUUCCCUGCGUUCAUGAGAGCAAGUUGUACAUCACCAAGAACUGCUAUGACUUUCUCUCUGAAAAUGGCAUGAUUAAGCCGUUCCUUAUAAACUAUGGUCAGAUAUUUGAAAGUCUCUGCACUGUUGCAUUGAUUUUUCUUUUUUUUUUUUUUUUUUUUUGGGCUUUCAAAGGAAAACAUUCAGUUUGCCAGUGUGGAGAAGACUCCUGCUGUGAUUCGUGCUCCUCCUUUCUUUUGGGAACAUGGCACAGCAUCACCCAACAAUGCUCUGCCUUGGCCAGAGCAGCCCAAACCCAGCAGCUCUGUAGAUGGAGCUGGGGCAGGUUCCUGUGGUUGAAGGAGAGUUCUGCUUCCUGUAGCUGCAUCAGCUCUGCAGUGCUUGCAGGAGCUUUUGCACACCUGCUGAUUUCCUAGUAAAAUAAGCACGAACUCUCCUACUGGAGCCAGGGUGACCGAGAUGUCAACUUUCACAUCAUUUUGUGUUUUCAUAAUAAUAACAAGUUCAGUUUUUAUUUUAAAAGUCCAAGUUUGUAGCUUGAGCUGUCAGAAAAUGCUUGAAAAUAAUUUAAGUCAAAUUUAGGGUUUGAGGGCAUGUCAGAAUUUGAGAAUGGUUGAAGAAGGCAACUUGCAUUGAUAGUUACAGCUUUAAAACUGCCAUGCAUGUGUGUGUGUAAUUUGAAAGUGUGCUAAAGUCACUAUGGAAGAUCUUCAGGCAGAGAAGUGCAUAGCUCUUGGUCUAUUUUCCUAAGAGAGUUAAGGGCUAUAUUUCCCCCAUUGAAUUCCACAGUCUGAGUCAGACUGGAAUAUUGGGGUCUCUCAUUCAGCCUUUA